rnacentral:rRNA from 1 species
UACGGAGGGUGCAAGCGUUAUCCGGAUUUACUGGGUUUAAAGGGUGCGUAGGCGGGUUGAUAAGUCAGUGGUGAAAUACCCGAGCUUAACUUGGGAACUGCCAUUGAUACUGUCAAUCUUGAAUUUGGUAGAGGUGGGCGGAAUAUAACAUGUAGCGGUGAAAUGCUUAGAUAUGUUAUAGAACACCAAUUGCGUAGGCAGCUCACUAUGCCAACAUUGACGCUGAGGCACGAAAGCGUGGGUAGCGAACAGG